CAACUUUUGAAAAUUUGAAGCAUUUUCUAUCAUCUCUACCAUUACUUGACUGGCUAAAAUUGGGUGAGGUAUUGUUUGAUAUCUUGCAGUAAUAAAGGAGACAGUAAGCUCGGUCCUCAUCAGAGAAGAAGAUGGUGAGCAAAGACUGGUGUACCAUACAAGUCAAGUGUUGAAGGGCUCUGAGCUCAACUACCUAAUAUUAGAAAAGCUUGCCUAUGCAGUUCUAUCUUCGGCGACGAAGUUAAAGCCAUGCUUCAAAGCCCACACAAUAGAAGUCUGAACAAACUACCCUCUGCCGAUGAUUCUACACAGACCAGAGGCGUCUUGAUGAUUAGCGACAUGGUCAGUGAUUCUAGGGCCAUAUGGCAUCAAAUAUGUCCCGAGGAUAACACUCAAAGCAUAGGUACUUGUAGACUUUGUGGCUGAGCUAACACCAGUACCCAAAAUUGAGGAAAAACCAAAGGAGCAAUGGAAUGUAUGGGCGAAUAGAGUAUCGAGUUCAACUGGUGCGGGCAUAGUUGUAGAUCCUUAAAGAACCACACACAGCAAAGCUAAAGUACGCGACAAAGCUAGCAUUUC
rnacentral:misc_RNA from 1 species